GACGAACGCUGGCGGCGUGCCUAAUACAUGCAAGUCGAACGCACUCUCGUUUAGAUUGACGGAGUUUGCUCCUGAUUGAUAAACAUUUGAGUGAGUGGCGGACGGGUGAGUAACACGUGGGUAACCUGCCCUAAAGUGGGGGAUAACAUUUGGAAACAGAUGCUAAUACCGCAUAAAACCUAACACCGCAUGGUGUAGGGUUGAAAGAUGGUUUCGGCUAUCACUUUAGGAUGGACCCGCGGUGCAUUAGUUAGUUGGUGAGGUAAAGGCUCACCAAGACCGUGAUGCAUAGCCGACCUGAGAGGGUGAUCGGCCACACUAGGACUGAGACACGGCCCAGACUCCUACGGGAGGCAGCAGUAGGGAAUCUUCCACAAUGGACGAAAGUCUGAUGGAGCAACGCCGCGUGAGUGAAGAAGGUUUUCGGAUCGUAAAACUCUGUUGUUGGAGAAGAAUGUAUCUGAUAGUAACUGAUCAGGUAGUGACGGUAUCCAACCAGAAAGCCACGGCUAACUACGUG
rnacentral:rRNA from 1 species